rnacentral:lncRNA from 1 species
CUUUGUUGUUGCUGUAGUUCUUUUUCUUCUUUUUUCUUCCCCUUUUUUAACCUUCCAGCUUUCCUGCAACAGCAGGGACUCGCACACUGAGGCAUGAAGCUGCUUUGUGGCACACAAGAUUUUUAAGCUGCUUCAGUACUGAGGAUCCUGGCCACAAAAGUGCAGGGCCAUGCAGGUCCUCAGAGCCCAUCACCACCCACCACCACCCACCACCUUUCACGCCCAUCACUUCAGCACAGAAGCUACAGAUGCUGGCUUCCUUCUAUGUGUGAGCACACCCGAGCUGUAGGACACCGUGGGCUCCUGCUGCAACAUCGUGGAAAGCACUGUUCAGUGCACCAUAGAGCAAGAGAUCAAAGCAAGGAGGAGGCUGGAUUCUUGUGGCAGUGA